rnacentral:tRNA from 1 species
UGGUUAAUAGUUAAUAAAUAAUAAAAGUCUUGUAAACUUUAGUAAGAGCUUUCUUUAACCAU